UACGAAGGGGGCUAGCGUUGCUCGGAAUCACUGGGCGUAAAGCGCACGUAGGCGGAUUGCUAAGUCAGGGGUGAAAUCCUGAAGCUCAACUCCAGAACUGCCUUUGAUACUGGCGAUCUCGAGUCCGGGAGAGGUGAGUGGAACUGCGAGUGUAGAGGUGAAAUUCGUAGAUAUUCGCAAGAACACCAGUGGCGAAGGCGGCUCACUGGCCCGGUACUGACGCUGAGGUGCGAAAGCGUGGGGAGCAAACAGG
rnacentral:rRNA from 1 species